rnacentral:tRNA from 1 species
GGGGUUUCAGCUCAAUUGGUAAAGUGUCUGUCUUGCAAACAGAAGGGUCUGAGUUUGAGUCCCAGAACCUACA